rnacentral:lncRNA from 1 species
GGUGUUUAUUGAGGGUCUUCCCAUACAGCAAGACUCAGGACUUUGCCUGAAAAAGCAAUCAGUCAGGGAAGGCAGGCCUUUAGCUAUGGUGUAAAGUGUUGUAGGAUUUUCCCAGCAUAGGGGAUAGCGUGAGAGGUGCCCUGCACUAUGCCUCAAGCAGGAGUGCGUGACACAGACAAAAAAAUCUCCUGUUGAGGAUUAGAGCAUAUGGGAAGUAGGGCUAUGGAGCUCAUUAUCCCCUGCAUCCCCCAUGGCAAGAGCAAUCACCAGAGCCUGUUGUAGUUGGACACAACAACCACACACAAACCAUGCUACUUUCCUCCCUGAUGCUGGUGCUCUUGCAGGUUGGGGCAGAACAGUAGAAAAGCACAACAGAUGCAUCCAGGAUGAUUUCUUCCUCUCCUUGCUGUGGUAGGAGAGGGUCAGACAGGGACUUGCCAAAAUCCCUCACUUGAAUGCUGCUGGAGAACGGUGUUGCAGACACAGAAACAGUGACUGCGGCUCUGCUGGACUCAUUGAGUGAUUCAGAAACAUUAGUGUAGGCACAGAGAGAUGAUGUGGUGGCUAACCAGAAUAUUACAAUUCAGGACAUGCCCAUUCUCUACAGAGAAUGGCUGGGAAUCCCAAUAGGGAAGGAAUAUGAGGAGACACAGAUUAUAAUGCAGCAUAAACUUUAAUGAGUCUGAAGAAGGAAUCAAAGCAGCACAUGGAGGAAGGGAUCCAGUCCUAGCUGCCACAAGGAGAGCUGGCAGUCAGAUCCCACUUCAACACAAUGGGUUGCAUGUCUUCCUCCCUCACAUGGGAAGAGGAAGAACAAACAGGACACUCUUGACUUGCUUCCAGAUGAACCAAUGGCACAGAACAGCAGCAGAAAACAAGGACUUGUCAUGCAAUGAAGAAAGUGGGAGAAGAAGAUAUCUGCUGGCCAUGUUUCCAGACAGCGCAGGCUGGCACCUCUGGAAACUCUGGCCAGCAGCUCCGUCUUCAGUCCAGCACCUGGCUUCGGGCUUCGUGGUCGAUGCUCUCACUGGACGUCCUCAUGGGCUUUAGCAGGGCAGGCACCUCCUGCCAUAGUAGCGGCCACCAAAGCCAGAGAGGCCAAAACCUCCAGAGGAGAUGGGCACUCCCUCAGCACUCAGUAUGCUGCCAACGGCAGCUGAGGUGGUG